GGCAGCUGCUCAGCCGCCUUUAUUCCGGAUCUGUUCAUCAUGGUCUAACUGAAGGAACAGCUGAUUUCUGAAGCUUAAAGCCUGCCUGUCAUGGGUCUGGCUAAUUUCUGGAGGAACUACAAAGUCUUGAUUGUGACGGUCCCGGGUGUGGGGCUGAUCCACUGGGGCUGGCUCAAACUGAGGGCAAACUCUCUGCUGAUGAAAGACCCACAGCAAUACAUCCCCGAACCCAGCAUCGUCACUUUUAUUUCAGCUGUUGGUUCAGCUCUGGCUGCUCCUUUUGCUGCUCCUCCUGCUGCUCCUCCGGCUGCUGCCAAGAGCAAGUGAACAAACCUCAGAGGAGCUGGUAUGAGGUCUCAGAGCUGGCUCAGGAGGAACUGGCUGUGGGUGGCCGGCGGGGCGUUUGUUUCCAUCCACCUGGCCACCUGGCUGAUGCAGACCGCCAUGAGAAGCUCUGUGCGCUCUGACGCUGCGCUCAAACAGAAAACUCCCGGGGAACGAAUGGACUGACAUUAUGUGACUUUUCCAUAGAAGUCAAGGAAGGAAGGACACCAGCUUGAGUUUAACACAACGGAGGACUGUGACCAACACAAUGAUUGAGUAACACUCAGAUAAAUCAUCCACUGUGUCUGAUUCUGACUUAAAAUAUUCAAUUAUCAAUGGCCUGACUGCAGUGGAAAAGCUGUUUUUCUGUUGUGUUCUCUUCUGUUUAAAGGACCAUUCUGUAGGAUUUAGGAGGUGAUAUUUUGACGGAAAACUUAUAUAAUAUAUGUUUUGUCAAAUGCAGAAUGUCGAAAUACCGGGAUGUGCUUCUGCAUCUGGUUGCAUUCUGCAGAUUGGAAGCCAGCAUGCCUUCCUGGCUAUUAGGACCCACAACCAAUUGCACAGUGGAUAUAUGAGCAAAAGGUUAAAGUUCAAGGUGCUAUGUUAUCCUUGAGGAAGUCAAAAUGAUGAAAUUACACACUGUACAUUUGGAAAAGUAGAGGUAUUGAGUUUUUUAACCAUGUGUAAGCUCCCUACUAGAGGCAAAUGAAUCCUACACAUUGCUCCUUUAAUUGAAUGUUUUGUUGAUAAUUCAGGUUUUGAUUUACUGUGAAUCCAAUAAACAGAUGAAAUGA